rnacentral:rRNA from 1 species
GAUGAACGCUGGCGGCGUGCCUAAUACAUGCAAGUCGAGCGAACGGACGAGAAGCUUGCUUUUCUGAUGUUAGCGGCGGACGGAUGAGUAACACGUGGAUAACCUACCUAUAAGACUGGGAUAACUUCGGGAAACCGGAGCUAAUACCGGAUAAUAUUUUGAACCGCGUGGUUCAAAAGUGAAAGACGGUCUUGCUGUCACUUAUAGAUGGAUCCGCGCUGCAUUAGCUAGUUGGUAAGGUAACGGCUUACCAAGGCAACGAUGCAUAGCCGACCUGAGAGGGUGAUCGGCCACACUGGAACUGAGACACGGUCCAGACUCCUACGGGAGGCAGCAGUAGGGAAUCUUCCGCAAUGGGCGAAAGCCUGACGGAGCAACGCCGCGUGAGUGAUGAAGGUCUUCGGAUCGUAAAACUCUGUUAUUAGGGAAGAACAUAUGUGUAAGUAACUGUGCACAUCUUGACGGUACCUAAUCAGAAAGCCACGGCUAACUACGUG